GUGCCCGGCCGUGCCCAGGUGUGCCAGGUGUGCCGGUCUCAGUUGGUGCCCGGCCGUGCCCAGGUGCCCAGUUGGUGCCCGGCCGUGCCCGGCCGUGCCCAGGUUCUCAGUUGGUGCCCGGCCGUGCCCGGCCGUGCCCGCGCCGGGCGAAGCGGAAGCUCUGCAGGGGGUUCCCGGAGC